rnacentral:rRNA from 1 species
GAUGAACGCUGGCGGCGUGCCUAAUACAUGCAAGUCGAGCGAACAGACGAGGAGCUUGCUCCUCUGACGUUAGCGGCGGACGGGUGAGUAACACGUGGAUAACCUACCUAUAAGACUGGGAUAACUUCGGGAAACCGGAGCUAAUACCGGAUAAUAUAUUGAACCGCAUGGUUCAAUAGUGAAAGACGGUUUUGCUGUCACUUAUAGAUGGAUCCGCGCCGCAUUAGCUAGUUGGUAAGCUAACGGCUUACCAAGGCAACGAUGCGUAGCCGACCUGAGAGGGUGAUCGGCCACACUGGAACUGAGACACGGUCCAGACUCCUACGGGAGGCAGCAGUAGGGAAUCUUCCGCAAUGGGCGAAAGCUUGACGGAGCAACGCCGCGUGAGUGAUGAAGGUCUUCGGAUCGUAAAACUCUGUUAUUAGGGAAGAACAAAUGUGUAAGUAACUAUGCACGUCUUGACGGUACCUAAUCAGAAAGCCACGGCUAACUACGUG